UACGGAGGGGGCAGCGUUGUUCGGAAUCAUUGGGCGUAAAGGGCGCGUAGGCGGCCGACCAAGUCGGAGGUGAAAUCCCUCGGCUCAACUGAGUAAUUGCCUUCGAUACUGCUCGGCUUGAGUCCUGGAGAGGGUAGUGGAAUUCCCGGUGUAGCGGUGAAAUGCGUAGAGACUGGGAAGAACACCAGUGGCGAAGGCGGCUACCUGGACAGGUACUGACGCUGCAGCGCGAAAGCUAGGGGAGCAAACAGG
rnacentral:rRNA from 1 species